rnacentral:rRNA from 1 species
UGGGGAAUCUUGCGCAAUGGGCGACAGCCUGACGCAGCAACGCCGUGUGUGCGAUGAAGGCCCUCGGGUCGUAAAGCACUGUUUACGGGAAAGAGGGGUUCGCUCGUUAAUAGGGAGCGGAUUUGACGGUACCCGUGGAGGAAGCACCGGCUAACUCUGUGCCAGCAGCCGCGGUAAUACAGAGGGUGCAAGCGUUGUUCGGAAUUAUUGGGCGUAAAGCGCGCGUAGGCGGUCAUUCAAGUCGGAUGUGAAAGCCCGGGGCUCAACCUCGGAAGUGCAUCCGAAACUGGAUGACUUGAAUCCUGGAGGGGGCAGUGGAAUUCCCGGUGUAGAGGUGAAAUUCGUAGAUAUCGGGAGGAACACCAGUGGCGAAGGCGACUGCCUGGACAGUGAUUGACGCUGAGGUGCGAAAGCGUGGGUAGCAAACAGGAUUAGAUACCCGGGUAGUCC